rnacentral:misc_RNA from 1 species
GUGUUUUCUCCACAGCUAACAACUUUAAACGCAGGAUGGCUGUUCGAAAAACUUGGAUGCAGUAUGCUGCAGUUCGGUCAGGAACUGUAGCAGUGCGCUUUUUUGUUGGUUUGCAUAAAAAUCAGUUAGUUAAUGAGGAACUUUGGAAUGAAGCACGAACAUAUGGAGACAUACAGAUUAUGCCUUUUGUUGACUAUUACAACCUCAUCACAUGGAAAACUUUAGCCAUCUGCAUCUUUGGGACACAGGUUGCAUCAGCAAAUUAUGUCAUGAAGACAGAUGAUGAUGCAUUUGUUCGAGUAGAUGAGGUGCUAGAUUCUUUAAAGAGGAUCAAAGUGAGAAAUGGCUUGCUUUAUGGACUCAUCAACUCAGACUCCCACCCUCAUCGGAGUCCCGAUAGCAAAUGGUAUAUUAGCCUUGAGGAAUGGCCUGAAGAGAGAUACCCCCCUUGGGCACAUGGUCCUGGCUAUGUGGUGUCCCGAGACAUAGCAAAGGAAGUUUACAGGAGACAUAAAGAAGGUCAUUUGAAGAUUUUUAAGCUAGAAGAUGUGGCAAU